rfam:Atta cephalotes unplaced genomic scaffold scaffold00043, whole genome shotgun sequence.
AUAUCGGCCCUUUUCAGGGCCAACAAAUCCUUAAAACAUGGAAAUCU